GACGAACGCUGGCGGCGUGCUUAACGCAUGCAAGUCGAACGGAAAGGCCCUGCGUUUGUGGGGUGCUCGAGUGGCGAACGGGUGAGUAACACGUGAGUAACCUGCCCUUGACUUUGGGAUAACUUCAGGAAACUGGGGCUAAUACCGGAUAGGAGCUCCUGCUGCAUGGUGGGGGUUGGAAAGUUUCGGCGGUUGGGGAUGGACUCGCGGCUUAUCAGCUUGUUGGUGGGGUAGUGGCUUACCAAGGCUUUGACGGGUAGCCGGCCUGAGAGGGUGACCGGCCACAUUGGGACUGAGAUACGGCCCAGACUCCUACGGGAGGCAGCAGUGGGGAAUAUUGCACAAUGGGCGGAAGCCUGAUGCAGCAACGCCGCGUGCGGGAUGACGGCCUUCGGGUUGUAAACCGCUUUCGCCUGUGACGAAGCGUGAGUGACGGUAAUGGGUAAAGAAGCACCGGCUAACUACGUG
rnacentral:rRNA from 1 species